AUUCUACUCCCUCCGUUGCACAAUACAUGCCUUCUAUUUGUCAAAAUAUAUAUGUAUCUAGACAUGUUUUAGUAUAUACGUACAUCCAUUUUUGGACAAAUGAAAGUCAAGUAUUGUGGAAUGGAGGGAGUACACA
rfam:Triticum aestivum genome assembly, contig: Triticum_aestivum_CS42_TGACv1_scaffold_223513_3B